ensembl:snRNA U6 U6 spliceosomal RNA
GCAGAUCCAUUAUACAUAUAAAAGAAGAAUGAUACGGAGCAGAUCAGCAUGGUCCCUGAGCGAGGAUGACACGUGAAUUCAUGAAGCAUUCCAUAUUUUU